CCUACGGGCGGCAGCAGUGGGGAAUAUUGCACAAUGGGGGGAACCCUGAUGCAGCGACGCCGCGUGAGUGAAGAAGUAUUUCGGUAUGUAAAGCUCUAUCAGCAGGGAAGAAAAUGACGGUACCUGACUAAGAAGCCCCGGCUAACUACGUGCCAGCAGCCGCGGUAAUACGUAGGGGGCAAGCGUUAUCCGGAUUUACUGGGUGUAAAGGGAGCGUAGACGGUUAUGCAAGUCUGAAGUGAAAGCCCAAGGCUCAACCAUGGGACUGCUUUGGAAACUGUAAAACUGGAGUGCAGGAGAGGUAAGCGGAAUUCCUAGUGUAGCGGUGAAAUGCGUAGAUAUUAGGAGGAACACCAAUAGCGUAGGCAGGUUACUGGGACGGUUCUGACACUAAGGCACGAAAGCGUAGGGAGCAAACGGGAUUAGAUACCCGAGUAGUC
rnacentral:rRNA from 1 species